rnacentral:lncRNA from 1 species
GCACGGUUAUCUAGGUAAAAAUGUAUAUAAGCUGUGUUUAGUAGUGAAUAAACGCCAUUUGCCUCACUUACUCCUGGGGUCUGGGUGAGCAUCUGGCCCCGACCUGGUAAAGGGUCGGUUUCGCCCAGCAGUAAGCCCUACAUGUGGACAGAGGACGAACACCGGAUGAGCGAACGGAGACUACAUGCAACAAGUGGUGACCCCGACGUGAUCUGUCUGCUGAGGGUGGCUGCCCGGCGUGCCCGUGACGCGGAGAAGAGCCUGUGAGGUGGCGGCAGGUCGCAUACGUAACAAUGGACCAAGUCAUUAAGGUACUUGUGCAGUUUUGUAAGGACUACUGUGGAAAAUCUGCUCCUUCCCGGAAGGAGAUCGCGGCAGUUUUGUCGCUAUUAAAUGAGCUGGGGGAGCUGGACUCUCCCCGCUACGUUUUGGAUUCGAGUAGGUGGGACUUGCUCACCUCGGUGCUAUGCCAGCGCGCCAUGGCCAGUCAGAAGGCUACGGAACUUAAAACGUGGGGACUGAUAUUAGGAGCCCUUAAAGCGGCCAGAGUUGAGGGAAAGGUAUUGGUGGAGGCUCGAUACCUUUUGGGUCUCAGCGGAGGAGGUGAGACACAGGACCCGGUCGGGUCCGAUGGGGGUUCGGGAGCAGUUUCUUGCAGGGGCCGAGAGGAGACGGAGCCGCCAAUGACCGUUGGCGGGAUGGCGCCGGCUGAGCCGACCGCGCUCAGUUCAAAAGAAGACAAACAACAAGAGAGUGAAAGGUCGUUGUCUCGUCCCCCUCCCCCGUAUCCAAACCCCUCAGGCGGAACGUUGUAUCCUUUAUCAGAAUUACGUCAGUGUUACCUGACUCAAGGGGGCGGAGGAAGCUGUGAUCUACAUGGGCAGGAUCAACUUAGUGCCCACAUGGGGAGGGACCAGACGAAAGGUCCGUCCAAUGCGGACAGGGGGCAUAGCCUACUGUCUCUGGUCACUCCCAGGGGCGGUAGUGCGAGUGAUAGUGUAGAAGAGAAAGAAGGGACUGGCUUUGAGUGCAGGGGGAGGGAUCAAAUGACGGACUGGAAUGGGAUUAGAUCGGAGGCUUUGGGAAAGGGUAUAGUUCCAGAGGCAUUCCAGGUGAUUGUGAGUGAUCGUGGCCCCGAAUGGGUGCCGCCUGACCCCGGGGGUGUUACGCGCCUGGUGGAAUUUAUGGAUAAAAGAGGCCUGAAAUCGCCUCUGACAUUAAAUGCACUACAAACUUUGGCUGCACUGGGGCCUCUCUUCCCCCGUGACAUCACAAACUUAAUGCGUACGGUGCUCAGGCUGGUUCAAUAUACGUUAUGGGAGACGGACUGGGUGGCCGAGUUGGGGGGCCGUGCCGGGGCGGCAGUGGUCGGCCCGGGCUGCUCCCUGCAUGGGACCGGCAUCCAGCGGCUUUCAGGGAAGGCCGUGGGAGUGGCUUUGCCCCAGGGCCAGCUAGCGAGACUAAGGCCAGGGGAGCUAAUAGCAGCCACAGAUGCAGUGGUGGAAGCGUUUAAUAAACUUGUGCAUAAGGCCGAACCACCUAGUCCGUGCACAGAUAUUACCCAGGGCCCGAAUGAAUCCUUUCAAAGCUUUACAGACAGGCUUUUAGCUGCUGCAGAGGGGUCUGAUCUCCUGGUACCGGCCCAAGGGCCAGUGAUCAUUGACUGCUUGCAGCAGAAAUCGCAUGACAAUGUUAAGGCAUUGCUGCGAGCCGGCCGAAGUACGCUUAAUACCUCGGGAGCCGGCCGAAGUACGCUUAAUACCUCGGGAGAAGUUAUUCAGUAUGUCUUAGAUAAGCUCAAGGUGGCUCAUUUAACUAAUGAAAGGCUAGUCACAGCUAUUGUCGUAGCUGUUGGCCUGCGACAGCAAAGAUCGCUGCAGCAGCAAGGGCUGUGUUUCCGAUACGUCCAGUAUGGCCAUGUUAGAGCACAAUGCCCCUGUGGGGGAGGCCAGUCAGGGCCUCCUGAUCACAGGAAGGGCUUGCUAAAGGGUAUCCGUGGUCGGGUAUGCAGCAGUUAAAUAUCAUGAAUCUGGGAAAUUCUGUGGGUACCAUCGCGAAAAGUAAUACCAGAUAUAAGUAGCAUAUCUGCAAAAACUGAGUCUAGGUGCGAGUUUUCUACAGAAAUUCUUCGUUGGCAGACCGAAGCCAACUCCAGAACAACUGAGGGACAGACGAUGGGAUCAAGAACCACUCGUCAAGAGGAGCACUACACCUGCAACGCUGACACUUCCGAUGUUGCUGAUAUUUAUGGUGUCCAUGGCGAUUACAGAGUGUCACAAACAACUACAAUGGACACAAGAACAUAUGCAGAAAAUUAAAGAAGAGCGUGAUCCCUUUGGAAGCUGGCUGGACGGACUGUUUGGGGGAACGGGUUCAUGGUUAAAGCAAUUGCUUAAAGCUCUCGCAGUAGGAUUUGCAAUCUUUGUGUGUAUUCUAAUCUGUCUUCCAUGCCUUGUAGGAUGCUUGCCUUCAACGAAUGAUGGACAAGACUUUUGACUAUCACAUUGAGUAUCAUAGAUUGCGUGAAAAAUUAUAGAGGGGUUUAGGUUGUUGCGUUCGUGCUGUAACGGGGCAAGGCUUGGCCGAGCACGGAAAAGAAUUCCCUGUUGCUCUGAUGAUUGCUUAAGAACUGUAGUAGAAAAUAGUAGGAAUAGUGUGCUGAAAUAUAUUUAGGAUUAGGCGUUUUGCGCUGCUUCGCGAUGUACGGGUUAGGUGUGUGUGUAAGUAGUAUUUAGCUUAGGGAGGGGGAGAUGUUGUAGUAGGCGUCUUGCGGGGGCACGGGAUGUACGGGACAGGCCUCUCCCUAAACAUAGAGAGAUAGUGCUAUCGUGCUGACCUUGUUGCAGAGAAAACAGGAGAAGAAGAAGGAUGAUAAAAGAAUGUGGAAACGGCCAAAUAAGGCACAAUGUUAUCUGGUGUGAACUAAUCAGAGUGGGACAUGACAGCACGGUUAUCUAGGUAAAAAUGUAUAUAAGCUGUGUUUAGUAGUGAAUAAACGCCAUUUGCCUCACUUACUCCUGGGGUCUGGGUGAGCAUCUGGCCCCGACCUGGUAAAGGGUCGGUUUCGCCCAGCAGUAAGCCCUACAUGUGGACAGAGGACGAACACCGGAUGAGCGAACGGAGACUACAUGCAACAGAUCCCUUCCAACCCAAACCAUUCUGUGAUUCCGAGAUUCUGAGAAGCAAGUGAAUAGCUGUUCAACUUCUGCAGCCAGCAUUAUUUAGAGGAGCCACUUUGUUGCGUUCUUCAUUUUUCAGACUGAAAUACUCUGAUUAACAAAAAUUAGUUCAGGUUGCUUUUUUUUUUAAUUCAAAGUACUCUUCUCACUCCUCUUUAAAUAUAUCAGCUAUACAAACAAAUCCAGCUUCUCUUCCUGAUAUAUUUAAGUACCUGUCUUUCUCACACUCAGCAAACAAAACAGGAUAGAAAAUAUGUUUGCCUCUCACAAAGACAGCAAAGCAAGUAAAACAAGAAAUUCACAGUAUAUCAAUUAUGAUCAAACCUUUGUGGUUUGUUGUUGUUGUUGUUUGUAGAAAACAAUCAAGGGAAAAAUUCUACUAGUAUAGACAGUUAUAUCACCUUGACAAAUUAUCUCUCUAAUGAACAACUUUGGCUAUACAUUCUUACAUUAUUUUAAUCAUCCAAAAAAAGCAUAAAUUUGUGUUACUUUAAUCAUGGAAAAAUAGGUAAGAACCCCCUAUUAGUUCUACAUUAUAAAAUAUGAAAGCUACAGAUCUUUUCUUUUUUUUAUGCAUUGCAAAUUGUCUUGUCAGAAGAACAUGAAGAUCAAAUGGCUUUGGCAAGUGAUUAAAAUCCAAGUAGAAGCGGUGAUCAUCUAAAAUGUUAUCUGUUGUUCGUAGGUGGUAAUGCUAUUUAUACACAGUGAAAUAAGGAAAGACCAAGAAAUGACAGUGAAAACCAUGUUAUAGAAGUUGGUGGGGAGAGAAAAAGGGAAAAACAGAACAACUUGGUAGUCUUUGAACAUUGAUGUUCUUCAAUCAGCUGCUAGCAUCAAAUAUCUGUCAUUGGAAAUUUAUUAGCAACUAUUUUAAUAAAUUCUGCAAAUCCUGG